rnacentral:rRNA from 1 species
CCUACGGGAGGCAGCAGUGGGGAAUAUUGCGCAAUGGGCGAAAGCCUGACGCAGCGACGCCGCGUGAGGGAUGAAGGUCUUCGGAUCGUAAACCUCUGUCAGCAGGGAAGAACGGUCACUGUGCUAAUCAGCAGUGAAUUGACGGUACCUGCAAAGGAAGCACCGGCUAACUCCGUGCCAGCAGCCGCGGUAAUACGGAGGGUGCGAGCGUUAAUCGGAAUUACUGGGCGUAAAGCGCUCGUAGGCGGUAUGUCAAGUCAAGGGGGAAAUCCCCGCGCUCAACGUGGGAACUGCCUUUGAAACGGGCAAACUGGAGUGUGUGAGAGGAUAGUGGAAUUCCAGGUGUAGGAGUGAAAUCCGUAGAUAUCUGGAGGAACAUCAGUGGCGAAGGCGACUAUCUGGCACAUAACUGACGCUGAGGAGCGAAAGCGUGGGUAGCAAACAGGAUUAGAUACCCCAGUAGUC